rnacentral:rRNA from 1 species
UUCGGUGGGGAUUAGUGGCGAACGGGUGAGUAACACGUGGGCAAUCUGCCCUGCACUCUGGGACAAGCCCUGGAAACGGGGUCUAAUACCGGAUAUUGACCUUCACGGGCAUCUGUGAGGUUCGAAAGCUCCGGCGGUGCAGGAUGAGCCCGCGGCCUAUCAGCUUGUUGGUGAGGUAAUGGCUCACCAAGGCGACGACGGGUAGCCGGCCUGAGAGGGCGACCGGCCACACUGGGCUGAGACACGGCCCAGACUCCUACGGGAGGCAGCAGUGGGGAAUAUUGCACAAUGGGCGAAAGCCUGAUGCAGCGACGCCGCGUGAGGGAUGACGGCCUUCCGGGUUGUAAACCUCUUUCAGCAGGGAAGAAGCGAAAGUGACGGUACCUGCAGAAGAAGCGCCGGCUAACUACGUGCCAGCAGCCGCGGUAAUACGUAGGGCGCAAGCGUUGUCCGGAAUUAUUGGGCGUAAAGAGCUCGUAGGCGGCUUGUCACGUCGGUUGUGAAAGCCCGGGGCUUAACCCCGGGUCUGCAGUCGAUACGGGCAGGCUAGAGUUCGGUAGGGGAGAUCGGAAUUCCUGGUGUAGCGGUGAAAUGCGCAGAUAUCAGGAGGAACACCGGUGGCGAAGGCGGAUCUCUGGGCCGAUACUGACGCUGAGGAGCGAAAGCGUGGGGAGCGAACAGGAUUAGAUACCCUGGUAGUCACGCCGUAAACGGUGGGCACUAGGUGUGGGCAACAUUCCACGUUGUCCGUGCCGCAGCUAACGCAUUAAGUGCCCCGCCUGGGGAGUACGGCCGCAAGGCUAAAACUCAAAGGAAUUGACGGGGGCCCGCACAAGCGGCGGAGCAUGUGGCUUAAUUCGACGCAACGCGAAGAACCUUACCAAGGCUUGACAUACACCGGAAACGGCCAGAGAUGGUCGCCCCCUUGUGGUCGGUGUACAGGUGGUGCAUGGCUGUCGUCAGCUCGUGUCGUGAGAUGUUGGGUUAAGUCCCGCAACGAGCGCAACCCUUGUCCCGUGUUGCCAGCAAGCCCCUUCGGGGGUGUUGGGGACUCACGGGAGACCGCCGGGGUCAACUCGGAGGAAGGUGGGGACGACGUCAAGUCAUCAUGCCCCUUAUGUCUUGGGCUGCACACGUGCUACAAUGGCCGGUACAAUGAGCUGCGAUACCGCAAGGUGGAGCGAAUCUCAAAAAGCCGGUCUCAGUUCGGAUUGGGGUCUGCAACUCGACCCCAUGAAGUCGGAGUCGCUAGUAAUCGCAGAUCAGCAUUGCUGCGGUGAAUACGUUCCCGGGCCUUGUACACACCGCCCGUCACGUCACGAAAGUCGGUAACACC